rfam:Triticum aestivum genome assembly, contig: Triticum_aestivum_CS42_TGACv1_scaffold_210696_3AS
UAUUAAUUACCUCUGUCCUAAAAAGCUUGUCUUGAAUUUAUCUAGAUACGGAUGUAUCUAACUCAAAAACGCAUCUAGAUAUAUCCGUAUCUAGACAAAUCUAAGGCAAACUUUUUGAGACGGAGGGAGUAUACA